AAGCUGAGAGCCUGAGUGAGUCCAUGUGAGUAAUAGUUUGGUGAGUUUCAGUCCGAGCGAGUCCGGUUGAGAAAAAUUUUAGUGAGUCGGAGCGC
rnacentral:lncRNA from 1 species